GGCUGGCGACAACCCCAGCCAAGAAACAAUAUUUAUAUAGUUUAAAUAAAACUCUACAUUUUCAUUGUAAAAUUAAAUCAUUUUUGUAA
rnacentral:tRNA from 1 species